CACGUAGGGCGCAAGCGUUGUCCGGAAUUAUUGGGCGUAAAGAGCUCGUAGGCGGCCUGUUGCGUCCGCUGUGAAAGCCCGGGGCUUAACCCCGGGUCGGCAGUGGAUACGGGCAGGCUAGAGGUAGGUAGGGGAGAAUGGAAUUCCCGGUGUAGCGGUGAAAUGCGCAGAUAUCGGGAGGAACACCAGUGGCGAAAGCGGCUUCCUGGUCCGACACCGACGUCAGGCACGAAAGCGUGGGGAGCAAACAGG
rnacentral:rRNA from 1 species